rnacentral:rRNA from 1 species
CUACGGGAUGCAGCAGUGAGGAAUAUUGCACAAUGGGGGGAACCCUGAUGCAGCAACGCCGCGUGGAGGAUGACGCAUUUCGGUGUGUAAACUCCUUUUAUAUGUCAAAAAAAUGACGGUAGCAUAUGAAUAAGCACCGGCUAACUCCGUGCCAGCAGCCGCGGUAAUACGGAGGGUGCAAGCGUUACUCGGAAUCACUGGGCGUAAAGGACGCGUAGGCGGGGUGGAAAGUCAGGUGUGAAAUCCUACAGCUUAACUGUAGAACUGCACUUGAAACUUCUAAUCUAGAGUAUGGGAGGGGGAGAUGGAAUUAGUGGUGUAGGGGUAAAAUCCGUAGAUAUCACUAGGAAUACCUAAAGCGAAGGCGAUCUCCUGGAACAUUACUGACGCUAAGGCGUGAAAGCGUGGGGAGCAAACAGGAUUAGAUACCCGCGUAGUC